GGACUGUCCAGCAACGACAGUCAAAUGGCACCGACAUUCCUCCCAGUCAAAAACAGAACUGCACAGAGUCUCCUCCUUGAUGAAUGUCGUGGCCAAAAAAUGCUGAAAAAAGUCCACAUCAGGUCCACACGACAUAACAAACACAAAGUGACAAAACAAACACACACACAAAAAAAAAAGCAGGGCUAAUCAGAGCACUUGCCGACGGCUGCCCACUCAGACGCCAUCUUGACUUCAAAGUGUCAAUCUUAUCUUAAUUACUGAAGCCUGAAUUUGACCAUUGUCAUUUAUUUUAUCACUUCACCUUCAAAGGAUAAUUGAAACACUUUUGAUUACAAAUAAUAUAUAGCCAUCAUAAUUAAAAGCAUUUUUUAUCUGCCGUUUUUCUACUUGUACAAGGACAACAUAUUUGAUUUGUUUGUCAAAGUAUUUAUUGGUGUAAAUAAACAUUCUUUCUUGGUUGCUGACUUUAUCUACAAAUACUUAGCCAAUGUGGAUGCUGAGGAGUAUUCCUGCAUAAUUGUACAUCAUCCCAAUUGAAUUUUCACCUGCCUGUAAAUGACGACUACGUAAUUGUCACUCCUCACUUUCGUCAGCAGGUGGUUUCUUGUGUUUAAAAAAACUGUUAAGAAUGAUUUGGAACACAUUUUAUUCACAUUGACAAAUUCUUACAAACAUCAAUAUCAACAUUUUAAAUGGAAUAUAAAACUUCAGACCUUUGGGUAAAACUGAAAACUCCCAUCUUGCCUGAAACCAUCAUGAGAAUAAGUGGUGCAGAAAAUGGAAGGAAUGGAGAAUUAACAUGGAAUCGAUUGCAUUGUAAUAAUGCACAAUACACAAA